rnacentral:rRNA from 1 species
AUUGAACGCUGGCGGCAUGCCUUACACAUGCAAGUCGAACGGCAGCACGGGUGCUUGCACCUGGUGGCGAGUGGCGAACGGGUGAGUAAUAUAUCGGAACGUACCUUAUCGUGGGGGAUAACGCAGCGAAAGCUGUGCUAAUACCGCAUAAGCCCUAAGGGCGAAAGCAGGGGACCGUAAGGCCUUGCGCGAUUAGAGCGGCCGAUACCUGAAUAGCUAGUUGGUGAGGUAAAGGCUCACCAAGGCAACGAUCAGUAGCUGGUCUGAGAGGACGAUCAGCCACACUGGGACUGAGACACGGCCCAGACUCCUACGGGAGGCAGCAGUGGGGAAUUUUGGACAAUGGGGGCAACCCUGAUCCAGCAAUGCCGCGUGAGUGAAGAAGGCCUUCGGGUUGUAAAGCUCUUUUGUCAGGGAAGAAACAGCAGCUCUAAUACAGUAUGCGAAUGACGGUACCUGAAGAAUAAGCACCGGCUAACUACGUGCCAGCAGCCGCCGUAA